UACGGAGGGAGCAAGCGUUGUUCGGAUUUACUGGGCGUAAAGGGCGCGUAGGCGGUCGUGACAAGUCACUUGUGAAAUCUCCGGGCUUAACUCGGAACGGUCAAGUGAUACUGUCGGACUAGAGUACAGAAGGGGCAACUGGAAUUCUCGGUGUAGCGGUGAAAUGCGUAGAUAUCGAGAGGAACACCUGCGGCGAAGGCGGGUUGCUGGGCUGAUACUGACGCUGGAGGC
rnacentral:rRNA from 1 species